UGGUGCUGCUGCCGGCGUGGCCGUCAAAGCUGUUGCUGGAGGGACCGAGCAAGGGAUUCGAUUCCCACA
rnacentral:tRNA from 1 species